UUAGCACCCAAGCAGGACCUGCUGAACCUGGGGCCCUAUAGGAGAGCACUGAUGGCCCACCCCUGAUUGUGGCCCUGGUCUUCAUGUCUGCAUCAGCCUCAGCCAUCUCAAGACCACAACAGGAACAUAGCCAAGUCAGAGAAGGAAGACCAAAAGCACCAGGGCCCUUCAUAUUAUUAAGCUGCUAAAUUAACUAAUCUUGGAAACUUCUAGACUCUACAAUUCUUGUUGUAUGAGAGUGGAUUGACAAUUAUUCUCUGGACUUUUUGGUAACCAAGAACUUCUAGCAACUAACCCUGGCAUGACCACCAGAAUCUGCAGGGCUGAGAGAAGAAAGAAAGGCAAAAGUGGAUGAAUGCAGCUGAAGAUGCUGUGGAACUCCUAUCACAUUCCAAGUGCUGUGUUGAUAUCUGGAGAUAUAGACAAGAUCGAAGCAGAUGCAGUCUUUCACAUGAAUAUUUGAAUCAGGCAGUAUGUUCCCCAAAUUAGCAAAGUAUCUCCCAGAUUUUUUCUUUGAUGAUAUAUUUGAAAUCCUAAUGCUGAAAGUUAAAUUAUCAGGGUUUUAAAACUAGAAGCAGUCAUUAUCAGAAUUUUAUAUACUAUUUAUUUUUAAGAACGUAAUUUGACUGUUUAAGUCUUAUUAUAAUUUUAAGUGAAGUACUUUGGGCAGUCAUAAAUAAAGUAAUGGGCAGGUAUUUAGUAUUCAUAUUGUGUGGAUUCAUAUCCAUACUCUGCCACUCAGUAUCUCUGGGAUUUUGAUGAAUGAUCAAACUCUCUGAGCCUCAGUUUUCUAAUCUGUAAAGCAGAAAUGAUAAUGGUAUGUAGUGAUAAUUAAACAAUUUACUAGUUGUAAGUGCUUAGAACAGUUCCUGGAAUAGAGAAAAUUUGCAGAGAGAUUUUUAUUGUUUACAAUUUAGUUAAUGGAAUGGCUUCAAUAAUACAGUAAAAUUAAGAUAUUCAAACAAGCAGGAUGCAGGUGAUGGGUAUUGGCCUCAGCUUUAGAGACCAGAGGUUAAAUCUCAGUGCUGCCUGCCACAAAACGAUCCAUGUAAGUCAAUAAACAAUGCUUUUUAAAAUAUUAUUAUAAAGAUAUAGUGUGUGGAUCCCUCUCAAUUGUCCAUUCUUCCCUGUCACAAAAAUUUGCCUGCUUUUCGUUACCAUGUGAGAGGCAAAUGAAUUGAACUAAAUGGUUUCUAAUGCCCUGUCCACCUCUAAAAUUCUAUAGAACUGUGAUUUGAUUCCAAUGGGCCAUAUCAGGACUCGGCAUUAUUUUCAUCAGUGAACCAUUUCAUUAGAAAUUUAUUUUUCCAAAUGAUAUUAGUAAAUAUUGAAGGAGGCUUCUCCCACAGAGCUUCUUGUACAAAUUAAAACAGGGCAGUAGAAGGUUUUCAGGUUGGUGAAGUCAACUCUGGCUUUUAGUCAACCAUUCCAAAAAAACAUUUUCUUUAGAAUCCAAGGGCUUGCAAUUGUUCUGAAUAAAGCAUAAAGAAGCUGUUCUGAUUUAUUAAAUAAAAAGAGUACCA
rnacentral:lncRNA from 1 species